rnacentral:rRNA from 1 species
UGCAAGUCGAACGCGAAAGGGACUUCGGUCCUGAGUAAAGUGGCGCACGGGUGAGUAACGCGUAGAUAACCUGUCUUCAUGUCUGGAAUAAUACGCCGAAAGGGGUACUAAUACCGGAUAUUCUUGCUUUUCAUAAGUUAUGCAAGCAAAGGUGGCCUCUGCAUAUGCUACUGCAUGAAGAGGGGUCUGCGUACCAUUAGCUAGUAGGUGGGGUAAUGGCCUACCUAGGCGACGAUGGUUAGCGGGUCUGAGAGGAUGAUCCGCCACACUGGCACUGGAACACGGGCCAGACUCCUACGGGAGGCAGCAGUGAGGAAUAUUGCGCAAUGGGGGAAACCCUGACGCAGCGACGCCGCGUGAGUGAAGGAAGGCCUUCGGGUCGUAAAGCUCUGUCAAGAGGAAAGAAGUGUACAAUGGCUAAUACCUGUUGUAUUUGACGGUACCUCUAAAGGAAGCACCGGCUAACUCCGUGCCAGCCGCUGC